UGCGAAACAGACAAUCGACCAGGCAGGGGUUUGUGGUUUAAAAAGUCAAUGAGAGAAGUGAAAUCUAAAGGCACAGUGUAGAUUCGAGGCAAUGUCUUAAGUAGUUGAACAUGUUAUUACUCCAACCUCGUGAAAGUGACAAACGGACACGUUUUCAUUUUCGUCAAAAACAACUUUAAGGAGUGCAUUUGAUUUUGACGGCCUGCAUAUGCGCAUUUCGGCACGAGACGACCGUUCGAGCCGAUGGCGUUUUCUAGCAUGAGUUUAGCUAGCAACGUCGCCAUGACAUCGCCUACAAGUGUGAUCGGGGAUUUCUAUUGGAGAAGCAGUUUUAGCCUUUCUUCAUACUGUACUGGUUUUGACCGCAGUGUGUUGUGACUGGACAGAGAAUAUGACACCUGUUGGCCAGGCAGACACAGACAGUUGGCAGCAAGUAGGCCUUAAUAGCAGUAGGCCUAAAUCGUCUGGACCUAUUAAAAAAGGUCGAACUUGCAAAAUGGCUAGACAUGACAAACUGUACACAUGGAUGCGGUAUUUGAUGUUGCUGCUUUGUGUGAUACUUGUUAUAAGUGGCUUUGUGCUGCUGGGACUUGGCGCAUGGAUUAGAUAUGGAGCAGCUACGUUUGUGGAUGUUCUGGGCCCCUACUCGUCUCAGCUCAUCUACAUCAGCUACAUCUGUAUUGGUAUGGGCUCAGUGCUGUCUUUCACGGGUCUCAUCGGCUGCUGUGGGGCUUGGAAAGAGAACCGCUUCUUUAUCAUGCUGUUUUUCUUCAUCGUGACAAUGCUAUUUGUUGCUGAAAUCAUUGGGACUAUUUUUGUUUUGACGUACCGGAAUCUGGUUAGCUUAGUGGUACGUGAUGCAAGCAAGAAUUCCCUGAUGACUGUCUAUAUGGGCCCAGCGGCAACAGACCCAAUCUCAACAGCAUGGAACACAGUCAUGGUCAAGUUCAAAUGCUGUGGUUUUGAGAACUCGACUGUAGAUUUCAAGGGCUCUGUGUUCAGUACAACCACGGGUUUGAACUACCCUAAGACUUGCUGCGUGAACAAGACCCUUGCAGACUGUGACGGUAUCACCAUCACUCCAAGUCUGAUCCAACCACAGAGCUGCUUUGGUAAGGUCAUCACAGUGAUCAGAGAGCAGAGUGUCAUCCUGGGAUCAGCAGCUGGCUGCAUAUGUAUGAUGGAGGUAUGGUAUGGGAGAAUUUCAAUCGGUUUUGCUUGACUCCUCGCGUCGUCUCCUUCACCCUCUCCCCACCUGAUGAAAAGAUGGCGCCGAAGAACAUGGCUGACGUUUUACAUUCUCCCAACCAAUUGUGCUAUUUUGUUAGUUGUUUUGUGUAACUUAUUUUUUUAACUUAUUGUGUACAUAAUGUUGCUGCUGACCGAAAAUAACUUCUGGACAUCAGAACAGCGAUUACUCAUCAUGGACUGGAAGAAACUUUUUCCUUUAACGAGUCCAACAAGAAGGAUAUCCUGCUUUCACUGGAACAGGCCCAGAUCCCCGCCUUUUGCGUGAAGAAAAGAUGAAGGAAAAGGGGCUGCAGAUCGGGCAACCUUCUGAGAAUCCGUAGGCGAGUGAGUAAACUCCCACUGCCAUCCGUUCUUGCUAACGUGCAAUCAUUGGAAAAUAAAAUUGAUGACCUACGAUUAAGAUUAUCCCACCAACGGGACAUUAAAAACUGUAACAUCUUAUGUUUCACCAAGACGUGGCUGAACGACGAUAUGGACAAUAUAGAGCUAGCGGGAUUUUCCAUGCACCGGCAGAACAGAGACGCUACCUCUGUUAUCCUCCAUGAUUCUUGCCAUGGUUUUGUUUGUGAAGUUGGGGCUCAUGAGGCAUCCAUGGUGAAGCCAAAGGGUCCAUUCACACCUGGAGGACACCAACAACCCCCACAGGCAAAAAUAAAGUUCUGCUAAAUUAUAAAAGUUUGUGUGUUUUCCUUAGUUGAAAUUGUAUCUGUUAUUUUGGUUAUAUUAAAAAUGUAAUGUAUUAUUUUUCAA